rnacentral:rRNA from 1 species
GUAGGUGGCAAGCGUUGUCCGGAAUUAUUGGGCGUAAAGCGCGCGCAGGCGGUUCUUUAAGUCUGAUGUGAAAGCCCACGGCUCAACCGUGGAGGGUCAUUGGAAACUGGAGAACUUGAGUACAGAAGAGGAAAGCGGAAUUCCACGUGUAGCGGUGAAAUGCGUAGAGAUGUGGAGGAACACCAGUGGCGAAGGCGGCUUUCUGGUCUGUAACUGACGCUGAGGCGCGAAAGCGUGGGGAGCAAACAGGGAUUAGAUACCCGUGGUAGUCCACGCCGUAAACGAUGAGUGCUAAGUGUUAGGGGGUUUCCGCCCCCUUAGUGCUGCAGCUAACGCAUUAAGCACUCCGCCUGGGAGUACGGCCGCAAGGCUG